UCUCCUUGGCUUACUGUUCUGAUCCUUGGAGGUGUGUGUGUGCAAGUGUACGUUUAGGCCUUGAGAAAGAAAGCAGUAGCUGGAAAGAUGCGCGCAGAGAGAGAAUGAGAAAGCGAAAGAGAGAGAAGCGGAGAGAAGCGGAGAGAGAGCGGGCAGCGGAGCGCGGCUUGGCCGGGAGAGGAGCACCGGAGAGCGGCUACGGCUGACAGGAUUCCCCGUUGCACUGGUGGAGGAUGUUUAAUGGAUGCUCCGUGCUGACGGUCACUAGAGUCUCGAUAAGACCCGGAUGCAGAAACGGUGCUGCAGCUGAUUUACCUGCAACAGGUGGUGAGCGCGCGGCUUUUACUAAAAUACCUCAUCAUGGCUUUUAUCCGAGCGCCAUUUGGUACUUGUUUUAAAGAAAAGAAACAAAGUAAAAGAGAAGAAGUCUAUUUGUGUGAUGUGUGGUGAGAUUUUAAAGGCCUUGUGAUCAUGGCUGAAAUUUUGCGCAAAAUGUUAGGUGCAAUGUUUGAAAAGUUGUGGAUGCUAUUAGGGGGCGGGGCUUAGCGGAUUCGCGUUUUAAUACCGUUUCAUGCCUCCUUUUUUCUUUUUUUGCGUGAUCCUUUUUAUAUGUUAAGAUGUAAACACAGCUUUGCGUUUGUCCACUUUUCUCAAAGGUGGAUUUAUUUAGCAUGCGAAAAAAAUGUAGUGUGAAUUUUUUUUUUUUUAUGAAUUUUUAAUGUUAUUUACAAGUCUUUAAAAAUCAUUAGAUCACAUAUUUAUUAUUGGUUGUAUUCAAAGAAAAUAUAUAAGUUAAUAGUUUGUUACCUUUAUUUUAUUACUGCACUAAAUUGGGUUAAAAUAGGACAAAUUAUUAUUAUUAUUAUUAUUAUUAUUAUUAUUAUUAUUAUUAUUAUUAUUAUAGCUCUAAUUCUUGCUUUUGUUUUUUCUCUUUUAAAAUCAUUUAGCAAAUUGUUUAAUAUUUUGCUUUUGUUGUUUAGUAAUAGGCUAUUGUUGUUUGCUGUUUCUGAGAGCUUGGUGUGUGUGUGUGUGU